UACGUAGGGUGCAAGCGUUAAUCGGAAUUACUGGGCGUAAAGCGUGCGCAGGCGGCUUUGCAAGACAGAUGUGGAAAUCCCCGGGCUUAACCUGGGAACUGCAUUUGUGACUGCAUGGCUGGAGUGCGGCAGAGGGGGAUGGAAUUCCGCGUGUAGCAGUGAAAUGCGUAGAUAUGCGGAGGAACACCGAUGGCGAAGGCAAUCCCCUGGGCCUGCACUGACGCUCAUGCACGAAAGCGUGGGGAGCAAACAGG
rnacentral:rRNA from 1 species